GGGAGUUCAAUAUCCAGGACAUGAUGAGUGCAUUGCAUCAUUCCCAUUGAGGGAAUACUAGGUUUAUGGCGGUAUGGGCUAGAAUGAAACCAUUGAGGAAUCCCGUUUUGUUUUUGGAGACUAGGGCCAUGCGAAAUGACUGAGACCAUGAAUGAUAAUUGUUGCCAACGAGGGUUGGAGCAACAAUGACGAAUGAGGGACUUUCACUAGGGUGGAUGUGAUAUAGACUAGAAGGAUUUUGGGUGGGGUUUGGUGGGGCAUUUGAAGAAUUUUCAUUGGACCCUGGAUUGUAUGUAUUAGAAGCUGAGCUUGACAUGUUAGAGAAAGGCUAUUGAUACCAUAAAAGGGAAAGACUGAAAGGAAAAAAAAGAGGAUAUUCAAAUGAAUUCAGUUAUCAAUUGAUGAAAUUGGACCCUGGAUUGUAUGUAUUAGAAGCUGAGCUUGACAUGUCAGAGAAAGGCUAUUGAUACAAUAAAAGGGAAAGACUGAAAGGAAAUAAAAAGAGGAUAUUCAAAUGAAUUCAGUUAUCAAUUGAUGAAAGAAAUGUACAUCAUAUUUACUGCUACAACAUGUGGAUAAGAAUGAAACAAAAAAAUAUUUCAAGAGAAUAACCAUUAUACAACUCAUCAUAUUCUAGAAGAAAGCUAACU
rnacentral:lncRNA from 1 species